rnacentral:rRNA from 1 species
UACGGAGGGGGCUAGCGUUGUUCGGAAUUACUGGGCGUAAAGGGCGCGUAGGCGGCGACCCAAGUCAGAUGUGAAAGUCCUGGGCUUAACCUGGGGACUGCAUUUGAUACUGGGUUGCUUGAAUUCGGGAGAGGAUAGCGGAAUUCCCAGUGUAGAGGUGAAAUUCGUAGAUAUUGGGAAGAACACCGGUGGCGAAGGCGGCUAUCUGGACCGACAUUGACGCUGAGGCGCGAAAGCCAGGGGAGCAAACGGG